rnacentral:rRNA from 1 species
UAUUUGAGAGUUUGAUCCUGGCUCAGAACGAACGCUGGCGGCGUGCCUAACACAUGCAAGUCGAGCGCGAAAGUCCCUUCGGGGGCGAGUAGAGCGGCGGACGGGUGAGUAAUACAUGGAUAAUCUAUCCUCGAGCCUGGGAUAACCCUGCGAAAGUGGGGCUAAUACCGGAUAAGACCACGUAACACAAGUUACGUGGUAAAAGGUGGCUUGCUUUCGGGUUGAGCUAUCACUUGAGGGUGAGUCCAUGGCCUAUCAGCUAGUUGGUAGGGUAAUGGCCUACCAAGGCGAUGACGGGUAGCUGGUCUGAGAGGACGGCCAGCCACACUGGGACUGAGACACGGCCCAGACUCCUACGGGAGGCAGCAGUGGGGAAUAUUGGGCAAUGGGCGAA